ACAACAGCUAUGAUAAGAAAGAGUACAUAAGGAAAUGAGCACAGAGAAGCGGCUGGCUGGUGAAAAGCCGCAGUCAGGAACUUAUGGAAUACACCUUGGAGCUGCUUUAUGAAAAGUAAAGCCGUAUGCUCACGUUAUGAGCUUGAGAGCCUCAUGUUAUGAGGAACUAAGGUGGUACCACGCAAAUAAAAAACGGCGUCCUUGGA
rnacentral:ncRNA from 1 species